UACGUAGGGCGCAAGCGUUAUCCGGAAUUAUUGGGCGUAAAGAGCUCGUAGGCGGUUUGUCGCGUCUGCCGUGAAAGUCCGGGGCUUAAUCCCGGAUCUGCGGUGGGUACGGGCAGACUAGAGUGCAGUAGGGGAGACUGGAAUUCCUGGUGUAGCGGUGAAAUGCGCAGAUAUCAGGAGGAACACCGAUGGCGAAGGCAGGUCUCUGGGCUGUAACUGACGCUGAGGAGCGAAAGCAUGGGGAGCGAACAGG
rnacentral:rRNA from 1 species